UUCGGGAUGCCGGCGAGUGGCGAACGGGUGAGUAAUACGUGGAAACCUAUCCCGAGGUGGGGGAUAACAGCUGGAAACGGCUGCUAAUACCGCAUAAGCCCUAAGGGGGAAAGAUUUAUCGCCUUGGGAGGGGUCCACGUCGGAUUAGCUAGUUGGUAGGGUAAAGGCCUACCAAGGCGACGAUCCGUAGCUGGUCUGAGAGGAUGGACAGCCACACUGGGACUGAGACACGGCCCAGACUCCUACGGGAGGCAGCAGUGGGGAAUAUUGCGCAAUGGGGGAAACCCUGACGCAGCGAUGCCGCGUGGGUGAAGAAGGCCUUCGGGUUGUAAAGCCCUUUCAGUGGGGAAGAUAGUGACGGUACCCACAGAAGAAGCUCCGGCUAACUCCGUGCCAGCAGCCGCGGUAAUACGGAGGGGGCGAGCGUUGUUCGGGAUUACUGGGCGUAAAGGGCGCGUAGGCGGUGCAGCAAG
rnacentral:rRNA from 1 species